CUUCCUCUCUCUCUCUCUCUUUCUCUCUCUUCUGUAUUUCUCUGUCUAUCUUUUUUCUCUUUUAUUCUCUUCACACACAUACUAUUUCUAUUUUCUACCCAUGCCACUCCUUCCAUCUAUAUCGCUCUUCCUCAUUCUAACACUUAUUUUGACCUCACUCUCUCCCCGUCACCUCUCCCUCCUGUUGCCUUCACCUUUCACUCUGCCUCUCUCACUUACGCUCUCUCCCUCUCUCACUCAUGCUUUCUCACUCUCCCUCUUUCAAUCUCCCUCUCUCACUCACGCUCUCUCACUCUCCCUCUCUCACUCACGCUCUCCCUCUCUCCCUCUCCCUCUCCCUCUCUCACUCUCACUCUCCCUCUCACUCUUCCUCUCUCUCUCUCUCUCUCUCCCUCUCCCUCUCUCACUUACACUCUCUCUCUCUCCCUCUCUCACUCACGCUCUCACACUCUCUCUCUCUCCCUCUCUCACUCACGCUCUCUCACUCUCCCUCUCUCUCUCUCUCUCCCUCUCCCUCUCUCACUCUCCCCCUUUCACUCUCCCUCUCUCCCUCUUUCAAUCUCCCUCUCUCACUUACACUCUCUCCCUCUCCCUCUCCCUCUCUCACUCUCCCCCUUUCACUCUCCCUCUCUCCCUCUUUCAAUCUCCCUCUCUCACUUACACUCUCUCCCUCUCCCUCUCCCUCUCUCACUCUCCCUCUCUCACUGUCCUCCAUUCUCUUCUAUUGGACUCCUAGCGCUGCCCCCCCCCCUCUUUCUAUUUCUUCAUCUGAGCAUGUCUCUAUCUCCCUCUCACCCCCCUCCCCCCUAUUUUUUCCAUCUAUCUAUGUUUUUGUGUCUUUCUCUUUCCGUCUCCCUCUCUCUAUUUCCAUCUAUCUAUGUCUGUCUCUUUCCAUUUCUCUGUCUCCCUCUCCCUUCCUCUCCCUUUCCAUCCCCUUCUCUUUCAGUCUCCCCCUCUCCUCCUCUAUAUCUCUCUAUUUGUCUGUCUAUGGUUAUUUUCGUUUUCUUCCAUACACCAUUUCUCUGUGUCUCUCUCUUCCAUACUCCAUUUCUCUGUGUCUCUCUCUUCCAUACUCCAUUUCUCUGUGUCUCUCUCUUCCAUACUCCAUUUCUCUGUGUCUCUCUCUUCCAUACUCCAUUUCUCUGUGUCUCUCUUUUCCAUACUCCAUUUCUCU
rnacentral:lncRNA from 1 species